UGUUGAGGCUAGAUAACUUCGUAUGGCUGUGAGUGAUCUGAGGGACAUCUUCUCCAAGUGUUGGACUAGCAAAGAUCAAGUUCUCCUUGGUAUGAUAAUUAUUUCUAACCUAUCUUGAUCGUAUUGUCAGAUCUAAUAGUUAGAUCUUCAUGGCAGCAUCGAUUAGAUCGAUGCAAGUUUUUAUGUUCAGAUCUAAAGUGUAUCUUAAUUCAUA
rnacentral:lncRNA from 1 species